rnacentral:rRNA from 1 species
AUUGAACGCUGGCGGCAGGCCUAACACAUGCAAGUCGACUGGAAUUCACCUUCGGGUGAUAGUACGGUGGCGGACGGGUGAGUAACGCGUAAAGAACUUGCCCUCUAGACUGGGACAACUGUUGGAAACGACAGCUAAUACCGGAUAUUAUGAGAACCUCGCAUGGGGAACUUAUGAAAGGCUAUAUGCGCUAGAGGAGAGCUUUGCGUGCCAUUAGGUAGUUGGUAGGGUAAUGGCCUACCAAGCCGAUGAUGCGUAGCCGGCCUGAGAGGGUGAUCGGCCACAAGGGGACUGAGACACGGCCCUUACUCCUACGGGAGGCAGCAGUGGGGAAUAUUGGACAAUGGACCAAAAGUCUGAUCCAGCAAUUCUGUGUGCACGAUGAAGGUCUUCGGAUCGUAAAGUGCUUUCAGUAGGGAGAAAAAAAUGACGGUACCUACAGAAGAAGCGACGGCUAAAUACGUGCCAGCCGCCGCCGUAAC